UGCAGUCGAGCGAAUGGAUUAAGAGCUUGCUCUUAUGAAGUUAGCGGCGGACGGGUGAGUAACACGUGGGUAACCUGCCCAUAAGACUGGGAUAACUCCGGGAAACCGGGGCUAAUACCGGAUAACAUUUUGAACCGCAUGGUUCGAAAUUGAAAGGCGGCUUCGGCUGUCACUUAUGGAUGGACCCGCGUCGCAUUAGCUAGUUGGUGAGGUAACGGCUCACCAAGGCAACGAUGCGUAGCCGACCUGAGAGGGUGAUCGGCCACACUGGGACUGAGACACGGCCCAGACUCCUACGGGAGGCAGCAGUAGGGAAUCUUCCGCAAUGGACGAAAGUCUGACGGAGCAACGCCGCGUGAGUGAUGAAGGCUUUCGGGUCGUAAAACUCUGUUGUUAGGGAAGAACAAGUGCUAGUUGAAUAAGCUGGCACCUUGACGGUACCUAACCAGAAAGCCACGGCUAACUACGUGCCAGCAGCCGCGGUAAUACGUAGGUGGCAAGCGUUAUCCGGAAUUAUUGGGCGUAAAGCGCGCGCAGGUGGUUUCUUAAGUCUGAUGUGAAAGCCCACGGCUCAACCGUGGAGGGUCAUUGGAAACUGGGAGACUUGAGUGCAGAAGAGGAAAGUGGAAUUCCAUGUGUAGCGGUGAAAUGCGUAGAGAUAUGGAGGAACACCAGUGGCGAAGGCGACUUUCUGGUCUGUAACUGACACUGAGGCGCGAAAGCGUGGGGGAGCAAACAGGAUUAGAUACCCUGGUAGUCCACGCCGUAAACGAUGAGUGCUAAGUGUUAGAGGGUUUCCGCCCUUUAGUGCUGAAGUUAACGCAUUAAGCACUCCGGCCUGGGGAGUACGGGCCGCAAGGCUGAAACUCAAAGGAAUUUGACGGGGG
rnacentral:rRNA from 1 species